UUCUUCGAUCUCAACCCCCCUUCCGCUCUCGCGAUCUCUCUCCCUCCCCACUUCCACUCUCAACCGACGGUGGCGACACGACGACGACGAGAUCUUUCUCCGCCGCCAUCUCCAACGGCGACGACCUCUCCCCCUUCAUCCGCCGCUUCUUCGCCCAGUUCAAGCCCGAGGCCCUCCUCCACAACCUCCGCCUCUUCGCCCGAUCCAAAGAGUCCGAGAUCGAGUCCGUCUGCAAAGCUCACUACCAGGACUUCAAUCGCGCCUUCGACGACCUCCGCUCCCUCCUCUCCAAGGCCGAAACCCUAAAAAGCUCGAUCUCUGACUCCAACUACACUAUCCAGUUCGCCGGCGGCCCGCUCCUGGCGUCGCUCACCCCCUAAUUCUCAAUAACCCUCUCGAUAAACAGGUUGUUUGAUCUCUCAACGACCCUCUUGAUUCCUUUCUCUCAAAUGGAGACAGAUUUGAUGAGUUCUCAUUAGGACAAUGACGAUGAGUACGAAAUAUUCAAUCAGAGAAUGAACCCACCAAGGGUUGUAAUUGAUAAUGAAUCAUGUGCUAAUGCAACAAUUGUUAGAGGAAGUUUUUUCUCAGUGCGUAUUGAGUCUUAUAAGAUUAGAAACUAAGUUGGUUAUUAUGAGUUCUUGCCUUGAGAAAGGUAGCCCCUGAUAAGCUGGUUAUGAGAUGUUCAGGACGCCUCAAUAUUCGACCGUCUCCCUCAAUUGAUUGUCUUAUGGAAAAUGUUGCUUUGGAGAUUGGAACCCCUGUGGAUGCUUGGUGGAGUGAUGGGCAGUGGGAAGGCGUUGUAACUGGAGUAGAGAACUGUAGAGAGCUCUGGAAAUGACAGUGUACAAGUCUAUUUUCCAGGUUGCCAGCAUUAAGCUAUCAACUAUCUCUGCCCACAUAAGCUAAAGACGACACAGAUUUACAUACCUCUGAUUUUCAGACUCCUCUCAUUGUUCUGAACCUUUUUAUAUUCC